GACGAACGCUGGCGGCGUGCCUAAUACAUGCAAGUCGAACGCACUCUCGUUUAGAUUGAAGGAGCUUGCUCCUGAUUGAUAAACAUUUGAGUGAGUGGCGGACGGGUGAGUAACACGUGGGUAACCUGCCCUAAAGUGGGGGAUAACAUUUGGAAACAGAUGCUAAUACCGCAUAAAACCUAAACACCGCAUGGUGUAGGGUUGAAAGAUGGUUUCGGCUAUCACUUUAGGAUGGACCCGCGGUGCAUUAGUUAGUUGGUGAGGUAAAGGCUCACCAAGACCGUGAUGCAUAGCCGACCUGAGAGGGUAAUCGGCCACACUGGGACUGAGACACGGCCCAGACUCCUACGGGAGGCAGCAGUAGGGAAUCUUCCACAAUGGACGAAAGUCUGAUGGAGCAACGCCGCGUGAGUGAAGAAGGUUUUCGGAUCGUAAAACUCUGUUGUUGGAGAAGAAUGUAUCUGAUAGUAACUGAUCAGGUAGUGACGGUAUCCAACCAGAAA
rnacentral:rRNA from 1 species